ACAUGCAAGUCGAGCGGACAGAAGGGAGCUUGCUCCCGGAUGUUAGCGGCGGACGGGUGAGUAACACGUGGGUAACCUGCCUGUAAGACUGGGAUAACUCCGGGAAACCGGAGCUAAUACCGGAUAGUUCCUUGAACCGCAUGGUUCAAGGAUGAAAGACGGUUUCGGCUGUCACUUACAGAUGGACCCGCGGCGCAUAGCUAGUUGGUGAGGUAAUGGCUCACCAAGGCGACGAUGCGUAGCCGACCUGAGAGGGUGAUCGGCCACACUGGGACUGAGACACGGCCCAGACUCCUACGGGAGGCAGCAGUAGGGAAUCUUCCGCAAUGGACGAAAGUCUGACGGAGCAACGCCGCGUGAGUGAUGAAGGUUUUCGGAUCGUAAAGCUCUGUUGUUAGGGAAGAACAAGUGCGAGAGUAACUGCUUGCACCUUGACGGUACCUAACCAGAAAGCCACGGCUAACUACGUGCCAGCAGCCGCGGUAAUACGUAGGUGGCAAGCGUUGUCCGGAAUUAUUGGGCGUAAAGGGCUCGCAGGCGGUUUCUUAAGUCUGAUGUGAAAGCCCCCGGCUCAACCGGGGAGGGUCAUUGGAAACUGGGAAACUUGAGUGCAGAAGAGGAGAGUGGAAUUCCACGUGUAGCGGUGAAAUGCGUAAGAUGUGGAGGAACACCAGUGGCGAAGCGACUCUCUGGUCUGUAACUGACGCUGAGGAGCGAAAGCGUGGGGAGCGAACAGGAUUAGAUACCCUGGUAGUCCACGCCGUAGACGAUGAGUGCUAAGUGUUAGGGGGUUUCCGCCCCUUAGUCCUGCGGCUAACGCGUUAGGCACUCCGCCUGGAGAGUACGGUCGGCAGGACUGAAGCUCGUAGGAAUUGACGGGGGCCCC
rnacentral:rRNA from 1 species